rnacentral:rRNA from 1 species
UAAGGAAUAUUGGACAAUGGCCGCAAGGCUGAUCCAGCCAUGCCGCGUGCAGGAAGACGGACCUAUGGUUUGUAAACUGCUUUUGAACUAGAGAAAACCCCUUUACGUGUAAAGGGCUGAUAGUAUAGUUAGAAUAAGCAUCGGCUAACUUCGUGCCAGCAGCCGCGGUAAGACGAAGGAUGCAAGCGUUAUCCGGAUUCAUUGGGUUUAAAGGGAGCGUAGGCGGACUUGUAAGUCAGUGGUGAAAUCUUUGGGCUUAACCCAGAAACUGCCAUUGAUACUGCAGGUCUAGAGUACAGUUGCCGUUGGCGGAAUAUGACAUGUAGUGGUGAAAUACUUAGAUAUGUCAUAGAACACCGAUUGCGAAGGCAGCUAACGAAGCUGUAACUGACGCUGAGGCUCGAAAGUGCGGGGAUCAAACAGG